AGAUGGCCGAGAUUAGGCCCUAGACUUUUAAUCUAGUUACGGUAAAUAUACCUCU
rnacentral:tRNA from 1 species